AUUGAACGCUGGCGGCAGGCCUAACACAUGCAAGUCGAGCGGAUGAAGGGAGCUUGCUCCUGGAUUCAGCGGCGGACGGGUGAGUAAUGCCUAGGAAUCUGCCUGGUUGCGGGGGAUAACGUCCGGAAACGGGCGCUAAUACCGCAUACGUCCUGAGGGAGAAAGUGGGGGAUCUUCGGACCUUCCGCUAUCAGAUGAGCCUAGGUCGGAUUAGCUAGUUGGUGGGGUAAAGGCCUACCAAGGCGACGAUCCGUAACUGGUCUGAGAGGAUGAUCAGUCACACUGGAAAUGAGACACGGGCCAGAGACCUACAGGAGGCGGCGGAGGGGGAAAUUGGGGAAAGGGCGAGAGACUGAGCCAGACAUGCCGCGUGUGUGUAGAAGGGCUUCGGGUUGUGAAGAGCUUUAAGUUGGGAGGAAAAGAAGUGAGUUAAUACCCUGCUGUGUUGACGUUACCAACAGAAUAAGCGCCGCCUAACUUCGUGC
rnacentral:rRNA from 1 species